GAUGGACGCUAGCUACAGGCUUAACACAUGCAAGUCGAGGGGAAACGAUAGAGAAAGCUUGCUUUUUCUAGGCGUCGACCGGCGCACGGGUGAGUAACGCGUAUCCAACCUGCCCAUCACUUGGGGAUAACCUUGCGAAAGUAAGACUAAUACCCAAUGACGUCCAUAGAAGACAUCUGAGAGGGAUUAAAGAUUUAUCGGUGAUGGAUGGGGAUGCGUCUGAUUAGCUUGUUGGCGGGGUAACGGCCCACCAAGGCGACGAUCAGUAGGGGUUCUGAGAGGAAGGUCCCCCACAUUGGAACUGUGACACGGUCCAAACUCCUACGGGAGGCAGCAGUGAGGAAUAUUGGUCAAUGGGCGAGAGCCUGAACCAGCCAAGUAGCGUGCAGGAUGACGGCCCUAUGGGUUGUAAACUGCUUUUAUAAGGGAAUAAAGUGAGCCUCGUGAGGCUUUUUGCAUGUACCUUAUGAAUAAGGACCGGCUAAUUCCGUGCCAGCCGCCGCCGUAA
rnacentral:rRNA from 1 species